GAUUCUGGCUCAGGAUGAACGCUAGCGACAGGCUUAACACAUGCAAGUCGAGGGGCAUCACGGGAGUAGCAAUACAACUGGUGGCGACCGGCGCACGGGUGAGUAACGCGUAUGCAACCUACCUAUCAGGAGGGGAAUAACCCGGCGAAAGUCGGACUAAUACCGCAUAAAACAGGGGCACCGCAUGGUGAUAUUUGUUAAAGAAAUUCGCUGAUAGAUGGGCAUGCGUUCCAUUAGGUAGUUGGUGAGGUAACGGCUCACCAAGCCGACGAUGGAUAGGGGAACUGAGAGGUUGGUCCCCCACACUGGUACUGAGACACGGACCAGACUCCUACGGGAGGCAGCAGUGAGGAAUAUUGGUCAAUGGGCGGGAGCCUGAACCAGCCAAGUCGCGUGAAGGAAGAAGGAUCUAUGGUUCGUAAACUUCUUUUGCAGGGGAAUAAAGUGCAGGACGUGUCCUGUUUUGUAUGUACCCUGAGAAUAAGGAUCGGCUAACUCCGUGCCAGCCGCGGC
rnacentral:rRNA from 1 species